rnacentral:rRNA from 1 species
AUGCUUUGCAAAGUAGGCAUUAAGAAUAUGAAAGAGAACUUGCAAUUCCAUUUGUCAAUGUGCAGUGCCAAAGAACACAUUUACAUUUUGCAGUUGUCGGUAGCUGCGACAUCAACGGAUGGAGGGUACACCUGCUGUAGCGGACUUCGUCGUCUCAUCGACAAGCUCACUUGUGACAGUACACCAGCUGCAGCUCUGGGAGGGACGGUGUGCAUCGGAUGGGACCCGGCACGGCACGCGGCCGAUGAGGAAGAGGACCAGCGGACGGGGCUUGACAAGGUGUCGCUGGCUGCCAUGCUGGUGUCCAGAUUCAGGGCAGAGUGCGUGGAGGCACCAAGAAGGUUGGGGAGGAUUGCGUGA